rnacentral:lncRNA from 1 species
AAACAAGUGGACACUUGGGCAUUUGGGCAUUUGAUCAUGAAAGUUGUCAACAGGAAAUGGGCACUGUGAUAAAGUGAGAUGAGCCUGGCAGCGGCUAUGUGUGUCUAGAAAUAGGAUGUCAUGUGCCAUGCUGCCUGUCUCCACCCUUUACCACAGAUGCAGGUGUCCUGGUAUCUCAGCAGCAAUGCACUCUUUGGGGGAGUGCCAAGCGUACUUGGAAUCCCAGUGUCAUCCCUAGUAUGGUAACCCAGUGUCAACACUCAGACAAAGCCAACCCUUGGCAAGUGCCAGUCAAUUAAAAAAAAAAAAAACAACAUUUUUUUUUUUCCAGGAAGAGACAUUGAGAGCCCAGAGAUGUGGCUGAGAUUUCCGAGUAGUUUCCUGAGCCUGGCUGUCUGGACCUCUCCACUUCAGCCGGAAACAAGGACUAAAAGGCACCAGAGUGGCCCGGACUACAAUGAAACAACAAUCAACUCCAGGACGUGGCAGCACCCCCAACCUCCCAAAGACGAUCAACGCCCCAGGCCAGCAGGAAGCAGCCUUAAGACAUCUUCGCCCCUACUUCCCUAACCUGCCACGCCCAAUUCUCUAACUUUUAUAAUAAACAACAGCUGGGAUUGUAAGAACAAAACACCUGGAUGACCCUAACCCCGCCCCCUAACAAGCGGGUACUCACUCACCCGCCAUGCCUUUCGACCUUUGCCCUACUGCGCAUAUGCAACCUUCCCUUUAAAAGGUCCUGCCCCACACCCCUCGCUCUCUCUUUCUCUCGGCUCCCCUGACUGCCCAUCCCCCCUUUCCCCCCUCUCUGAUAAAUAAACUCCACGUGGAUUGCUUAUCCGUUGUUCCUUUCUAUAUUAGCAGCUGCAGCUUAAACAAAAGAAUAACAGUGGUGAUACCUCCAGAAAUUCUUUUAUUGUAGAGGAUUGUUUUAGCUAUCCUGGGCUUCUGUUUCUCCAUAUGAAAUUGAGUACUGUCCUUUCAAGGUGAGUAAAGAAUUGUGAUGAGAUUUGGGGGGGAUUGCUUUGAAUCUGUAUUUUGCUUUUGGCAAGAUGGCCAUUUUGACUGCUAAUCUUACCGAUCCAUGAGCAAGGGAGAUUCUCCCCAUCUUCUGAUGCUUUUGAAGAGGAUGGAAGUGAGACUUGGGAAGGAAGGUGAGCUGAGGGUGAAGCAGAGUGCCCCAGCAAGUGCUCUGUCUGGUCCAGAGUUCUCUCCACAGUGAGGCCUUGCCUGGCCUCAAC